UACGUAGGGUGCAAGCGUUAAUCGGAAUUACUGGGCGUAAAGCGUGCGCAGGCGGUUGUGUAAGACAGAUGUGAAAUCCCCGGGCUCAACCUGGGAACUGCAUUUGUGACUGCACGGCUGGAGUGCGGCAGAGGGGGAUGGAAUUCCGCGUGUAGCAGUGAAAUGCGUAGAUAUGGAGGAACACCGAUGGCGAAGGCAAUCCCCUGGGCCUGCACUGACGCUCAUGCACGAAAGCGUGGGGAGCAAACAGG
rnacentral:rRNA from 1 species